CCUACGGGUGGCAGCAGUGAGGAAUAUUGGUCAAUGGGCGGAAGUCUGAACCAGCCAAGCCGCGUGAAGGAAGAAGGCUCCAAGAGUCGUAAACUGCUUUUGUCGGGGGAUAAACGCAGACACGUGUGUCUGUGUGAAAGUAUCCUACGAAAAAGGAUCGGCUAACUCCGUGCCAGCAGCCGCGGUAAUACGGAGGAUUCAAGCGUUAUCCGGAUUUAUUGGGUGUAAAGGGUGCGUAGGCGGUCCGAAAAGUUAGAGGUGAAAUCCCGGGGCUCAACCUCGGAAGUGCCUUUGAUACUGUUCGGCUAGAGACUAGUUGCGGUAGGCGGAAUGCGUGGUGUAGCGGUGAAAUGCUUAGAUAUCGUGCAGAACUCCGAUUGCGAAGGCAGCUUACC
rnacentral:rRNA from 1 species